GCAUAUCAAUAAGCGGAGGAAAAGAAACCAACAGGGAUUGCCCUAGUAACGGCGAGUGAAGCGGCAACAGCUCAAAUUUGAAAUCUGGCCUCACGGUCCGAAUUGUAAUUUGUAGAGGAUGUUUCUGGCGACGUGUCUUCCGAGUUCCCUGGAACGGGACGCCAUAGAGGGUGAGAGCCCCGUCCGGUCGUACACCUAGCCUCUGUGAAACUCCUUCGACGAGUCGAGUAGUUUGGGAAUGCUGCUCUAAAUGGGAGGUAUACGUCUUCUAAAGCUAAAUACCGGCCAGAGACCGAUAGCGCACAAGUAGAGUGAUCGAAAGAUGAAAAGCACUUUGAAAAGAGGGUUAAAUAGUACGUGAAAUUGCUGAAAGGGAAGCGCUUAUGACCAGACUUGGGCUCGGUGAAUCAUCCGGCGUUCUCGCCGGUGCACUUUGCCGUCCCAGGCCAGCAUCAGUUCGCGCCGGGGGAUAAAGGUUUCGGGAAUGUAGCUCCUUCGGGAGUGUUAUAGCCCGUUGCGUAAUACCCUGGCGUGGACUGAGGUCCGCGCUCUGCAAGGAUGCUGGCGUAAUGGUCAUCAGUGA
rnacentral:rRNA from 1 species